UACGGAGGGUGCAAGCGUUAAUCGGAAUUACUGGGCGUAAAGCGCACGCAGGCGGUCAAUUAAGUCAGAUGUGAAAGCCCCGAGCUUAACUUGGGAGUUGCAUCUGAAACUGGUUAACUAGAGUGUUGAAGAGGGGAGUAGAAUUCCAUGUGUAGCGGUGAAAUGCGUAGAGAUGUGGAGGAACACCGGUGGCGAAGGCGGCCUCCUGGACUAAAACUGACGCUGAUGUGCGAAAGCGUGGGGAUCAAACAGG
rnacentral:rRNA from 1 species